rnacentral:rRNA from 1 species
GAUCAUGGGCUCAGGAUGAACGCUAGCUACAGGCUUAACACAUGCAAGUCGGAGGGGCAGCAUGGUCUUAGCUUGCUAAGGCCGAUGGCGACCGGCGCACGGGUGAGUAACACGUAUCCAACCUGCCGUCUACUCUUGGACAGCCUUCUGAAAAGGAAGAUUAAUACAAGAUGGCAUCAUGAGUCCGCAUGUUCACAUGAUUAAAGGUAUUCCGGUAGACGAUGGGG